AAAGCUUGGCGAUACAGGGUGAUAGCCCCGUAACCGACGCUUCAUCGAGCGUGAAAUCGAGUAGGGCGGGACACGUGAUAUCCUGUCUGAAUAUGGGGGGACCAUCCUCCAAGGCUAAAUACUCCUGACUGACCGAUAGUGAACCAGUACCGUGAGGGAAAGGCGAAAAGAACCCCUGUGAGGGGAGUGAAAUAGAACCUGAAACCGUGUACGUACAAGCAGUAGGAGCACCUUCGUGGUGUGACUGCGUACCUUUUGUAUAAUGGGUCAGCGACUUAUAUUCAGUGGCAAGGUUAACCGUAUAGGGGAGCCGUAGCGAAAGCGAGUCUUAACUGGGCGCUCAGUCUCUGGAUAUAGACCCGAAACCGGGUGAUCUAGCCAUGGGCAGGUUGAAGGUUGAGUAACAUCAACUGGAGGACCGAACCGACUAAUGUUGAAAAAUUAGCGGAUGACUUGUGGCUAGGGGUGAAAGGCCAAUCAAACUCGGAGAUAGCUGGUUCUCCCCGAAAGCUAUUUAGGUAGCGCCUCGGACGAAUACUACUGGGGGUAGAGCACUGUUAAGGCUAGGGGGUCAUCCCGACUUACCAACCCUUUGCAAACUCCGAAUACCAGUAAGUACUAUCCGGGAGACACACGGCGGGUGCUAACGUCCGUCGUGGAGAGGGAAACAACCCAGACCGCCAGCUAAGGUCCCAAAGUAUUGCUAAGUGGGAAACGAUGUGGGAAGGCUCAGACAGCUAGGAUGUUGGCUUAGAAGCAGCCAUCAUUUAAAGAAAGCGUAAUAGCUCACUAGUCGAGUCGGCCUGCGCGGAAGAUGUAACGGGGCUAAGCAAUACACCGAA
rnacentral:rRNA from 1 species